GCCCUCGUAGUUAAAUGGACAUAAUAAGUCUCUCCUAAAGACUGGUUGUGCGUUCGAUUCGCGCCGGGGGUGCCA
rnacentral:tRNA from 1 species